rnacentral:tRNA from 1 species
GGCUUCAUCGUCUAGCUGGCCUAGGAUGCGUGGCUCUCACCUACGCGACAUGGGUUCGAAUCCCGUUGAAGCUGCCA